UCUGGUGAGAAAGGUGUGUGUUAACAACAGCAGUGCAGGCAGCAGCAGCGAAAGAGACAGAGAGGCUUCUGAUCCGGAGAAGGAAAUAGCAAGAGGGGUCAAUGUAGGCCUACUCUUCAUGACCGGUGAAGCUGAGGAUGGCGACAUGCUCACAGACAUUCUGGAUGUUACAGUGAUACUGUAUCGUCCUCCGUCAGCUAAAAAGUGUUCUAAAUGCCUUUGCUGUCCUAAUUGGCCUCUUGGAUAGUCUCAACAUCGACUAUCCAAAGGGACUGAAAUACAGUUUUGAGAUAAUCCAGACAGUUUUCAUGGAUGUUUGCAGUGCGACAUGUUCAUCCAAAGUGCUUGCACAAGAACAAGAUUCUGCAACAAACAGUUUGAUCAGAUCUCUUCAAGUGGUCCGUCUUUCGUUGUUUAUGGAUAAAGACAGGUGGGAUCACUUCAAAUGUUAUCCAUUUUUGGACUGCAACUGUUAAAUGAGACCUGACUCAGUUCAAGUCUUGGUUUACACAUCUGUUGAAAACUCCUGCGACUUCUGCAGCCUCCUUUCUUUCUUUCUUUUUUUAACAUUUUCAUUUCUUUAAUACUCUUCUGUGGUAAACAUUGCAUAGCUCAAAUUCCUGGCCAUAUGCUGUAAGAGUGUCUCCCUCUUUCGCUCUUUCUGUUUGUCUUUUUACGUUACCAGAAUAAAGAAGGUACAGGGGAGGCAGAGGAACAGCAUUUGUUGACAAGAGAUUAAAAAUGAAGGAGACAUUUUUUUAAAAUAUCAACAUAA